CUUUUUCUUUCCCUUUCGAAGCAAGACACACCUCUGCUCUGCUGGAAGGAGAGUCUUUCCAACGCUGCUGGCAAUGUAAAUGGUUACACAGCUGAAGCUUUGCCCAGAUGGGGAACCCCACUGUUCCAUGAAUAUGACGUGAGAAUAAAAUCUGAGCAAGUUGAGUGGAUUGGUCUGACAUGCUAACAUGGAGAUUUUGUCCUUUCUCCCACUUCCCCCAUUUUAGUUUGAGAUUUUUGUUGCUUUAAGUCUUUGGUGGUGACGUCUGAUCUUCACCCAUCAAUCAGAACUGGAGCUCAGCAGUCAUUUCUGUGCCUAGCUACACUGAG